rnacentral:rRNA from 1 species
GCCAGACUCCUACGGGAGGCAGCAGUGAGGAAUAUUGGUCAAUGGCCGAGAGGCUGAACCAGCCAAGUCGCGUGAGGGAAGACGGCCCUACGGGUUGUAAACCUCUUUUGUCGGGGAGCAAAAAGGCUCUGCGGAGUCGUAUUGAGAGUACCCGAAGAAAAAGCAUCGGCUAACUCCGUGCCAGCAGCCGCGGUAAUACGGAGGAUGCGAGCGUUAUCCGGAUUUAUUGGGUUUAAAGGGUGCGCAGGCGGAAGAUCAAGUCAGCGGUAAAAUUGAGAGGCUCAACCUCUUCGAGCCGUUGAAACUGGUUUUCUUGAGUGAGUGAGAAGUAUGCGGAAUGCGUGGUGUAGCGGUGAAAUGCAUAGAUAUCACGCAGAACUCCGAUUGCGAAGGCAGCGUACCGGCGCCCAACUGACGCUGAAGCACGAAGGCGUGGGUAUCGAACAGGAUUAGAUACCCCAGUA